CCUCUGACCAUGGUGAGGCUGACAUUUUUUUAGCCCAUGGCAGGUAUCUCUCCUACUUCCUCUAAGCAAAUUUUAACACUAAAAAUGCGACCCCUGCGAUUUCCCCAAAUGUGGGAAAUUCGACUGCAUAAUUUGUGGUAGUGGGGGACUGCGUUCGCGCUUUCCCCUG
ensembl:snRNA U1 U1 spliceosomal RNA